rnacentral:rRNA from 1 species
GUGGGGGAUAUUGCACAAUGGGCGAAAGCCUGAUGCAGCAACGCCGCGUGAGGGAAGACGGUUUUCGGAUUGUAAACCUCUGUUCUAAGUGACGAAGAAUGACGGUAGCUUAGGAGGAAGCCCCGGCUAACUACGUGCCAGCAGCCGCGGUAAUACGUAGGGGGCAAGCGUUGUCCGGAAUUACUGGGUGUAAAGGGAGCGCAGGCGGAGAAGCAAGUCAGUGGUGAAAGGUAUGGGCUUAACCCAUAGACUGCCAUUGAAACUGUUUUCCUUGAGUGAAGUAGAGGCAGGCGGAAUUCCGAGUGUAGCGGUGAAAUGCGUAGAUAUUCGGAGGAACACCAGUGGCGAAGGCGGCCUGCUGGGCUUUAACUGACGCUGAGGCUCGAAAGUGUGGGGAGCAAACAGGAUUAGAAACCCUAGUAGUCC